ensembl:lncRNA
CUCAGAACUAACAAGCAUUGGUUAAAUGCCUUUCUAAAACAAAUAAAAGGAAAAUGUGGCAGGAAAGCCACAUUUUACUUCACAGCUGUUUUGUUGUUUGCUUACUCUAACAAGGGAGUUUUUUAAAUUAUUGUUUUGAAUAGCAGGUGCUCAUUUGUGCACAUCUCUAACCUUAAUUUUCUGAUUUUCUUAGGGAUGACUGGAUCUAGUUCAGAACAUCUGUGAACACAGAGGGAGUGGAAACUUCACUUUCAACAUCGUCAGCCAACUUCCCUCCCAUUACAAUUCUAUCGCAAGAUCAAGGUCAUGUGAGAAACCAGCAGCAUACAGAAAGAAUAUCUUUUCUAUAAUGAGGCAAACUGAGGGGAGGCAGGUUGCUUUUCAGCUCAAUGUAUAUUCCUUGGCACCAAUGCAAGAUUCAGCCUAUAUAUCCUCACUACAAGGCUGAGUGUAAGCAGGCGAUAACCUCAAAUAUUAAACGAACAAAAAGAAGACCAUCUACAUGGAAUAUGACACCCUCAGAAACAUGGAACAUGAAACAGCUUCUCCAAGACUUCUUAUUUGGUAUGAAUAUGGCCACAUUUCACUAAGGCUAACGAAGAAUUCUGAGAUGAGCUUAGAAGAGAGAAAGUCACACACCUUAAGAUAUCAUUUGCCCACAAAUCAUACUUUGAGAAGUGGACAUGUUUAAUAUCACAGGAUUUAAGAGGGACAGACAUAGACAUUUUUACUUCUUUGCAUUUCAUUUCACAUUUUAUGUGCUACUUUAACACUGUAUCAGAAAAAUUAUCAGGUUUAUAUGAUCAUUGAGUUGUUCUUAAUAAACGCAUGCUGCCUAUAUCUCAAUUCAUUUGACUGUAGAAUUCUGAAUAGACUAUAAAAACAAAUUCUAGAAUUAAUGAACUAAAAAAGUAUCAUUAAUUGAAGUACAAGCAUUUAUUUCAAUUAAAGAAUGUCACAAUAUUUAGUUUACAUCUCACAGCUACCAUCAUAAAUCUAAUCAAUGGCAUAAUUUAUACUGAAGAGCAAUUUGAAUAAUUUAAUACACUGUAUUUAAUGCUGGUCAUUAGAUGUAAUUGCAAAUGUAUACUAUUAUAAAUGCAAUAUGUGCUGUAACAUUGUUUAUUCUGUUUAUCUCCUGUCUUAUUAUUAAUAUUUCUGUUUAUGAACAAAAUAUAGGAAACUAUUCCUUUCUUAUCAAAUAGCCUCAGAGAAACUUUAACCAGUUAAGCCCCCUAGUCAAAAUCGAUCUUUGGUAAAUAAACUCAUAAAAGCAACAGACUUUAUAAAUAUUUAACAUGCAAUUACUCAGGAUUAUUAAAUAAACGCUAUUGUCUGUAUUUCAAUUUCUCCUUUUGCCCCAAUCAGCUUUUGUUACAGUUUUAGUCAAUUUCUAAGAAAGAAAAGUAAAAAGCAAAUACAUAAUUGUAAAUCUAUGAUUUACCUCGCACAGCCUAUUUCAAACACUUCCUUCUUCUCGUAAUGAAGGUGAAGGUUAAUAUCAUCAGGAGCCAUCGUGACAGCAUGCACUUUUGAUAUGAUAUGGUGAGAAUGGCACUUCAUCUCUCUGAUCUUCUACAAACCACAAGCCCAUGCAAACCAUAAGGAAAACAUUAGACAAAGUCAAAUUGACGGACAUUAUAUGAAACACCUGACCAGUACUCUUCAAAACUGUCAAGGUCUCUAAAAAUAAGGAAAAUCUGCUCUCUAACUCUCAUCUGAAGACUCUUCCAGAAGAGGUCUGGUUACAGAUAGAAUAACGAAUGCUUUGGUUGGAAGGAAUUAUUGUGCAAGCAAUUUUGCAGAGCUAAAUGAUCCAGAAGAGAGGCUACAAAAAAAUAUGGCUAUAUGAGUAUAAGGCACAGCUAUUUUCUGUUUAGUUAAUACAGAAAAUUUAGAUACAUUGAUGCUUCUGUAUUAUUUCUUAAAACAUUUACCAAAUGCCUACUGGGUGCAAGACACUUUACUAGUUGAUAUGCUGAAUACAAAGGUAUACAUUAUUCAAUCAAGCAGGAUAGGAAUAGGUACAUGUUGGAACUUGAAGCAAUCCCAGCAGUUAUACAGUUUUUAGCCUUUCUAUUUUUGCCUGAAAGUCUUCAAUGGCUUAUUCAGAAAAGACAGACUCAGAAGGUGUAAAGAAUUUUGUCUCAGAGGCAUGGUAUCCAGACUGCUGAUGAGGAAUGUGACAGCAUCAAAAACAACAUUGAAGAAGAGGAAAAAAGAGGUUGGCUCAGCUGGACCUGUGACUUUCAGAAUGCUGAGUUACCCCCGAUUUGCAAAGCUUUAAUUGUAGUUUGGGGCCUACAAAGUUCCCAACAGUUCUCAAACAUUACUACCAACAUGAAACCCCAGAUGUUGGAGUUGUUGGACAACAAUUUUAAAGCACCUACCGUGAACAUGCUUGAAGAGACAUAAGGUAAUCUGUUUGUAAUAAAAUAAGAGAUAGAGAAUCUCAGAACAAAAAGAGAAACUAUGAAGAAGAACGAAACGCACAUUUUACAAAUGAAAAUAGAAUUCCAGAACUAGAAAGUGUACUGAAUUAGCUAAAUAGCAGAAUGAAAACAAUAAAAACCAUCCAGUCUGAAGAAAAGAAAGAAAAAGAGGUUUUUUUUUAAAUAAUAAUUAAGAAAGCCUUAGAACUUGUGAGACAAUUUCAAAAUGUCCAACACUUAGGUAAAUGGAGUCCCAGAUGAAGAGGACUAAGAUAAUGAAGAAGAAAAUAAUUGAAGAAAUAAUGACAGAAACCUCUCAAAUUGGGUGGAAGAUAUAUAUUGACAGAUUUACAGAUUCAACAACUUCAACAAUCUACAAACG